AACGAACGCUGGCGGCAUGCCUAACACAUGCAAGUCGAACGAGAUCUUCGGGUCUAGUGGCGCACGGGUGCGUAACGCGUGGGAAUCAGCCCUUUGGUUCGGAAUAACAGUUGGAAACGACUGCUAAUACCGGAUGAUGACGAAAGUCCAAAGAUUUAUCGCCAGAGGAUGAGCCCGCGUAGGAUUAGCUAGUUGGUGUGGUAAAGGCGCACCAAGGCGACGAUCCUUAGCUGGUCUGAGAGGAUGAUCAGCCACACUGGGACUGAGACACGGCCCAGACUCCUACGGGAGGCAGCAGUGGGGAAUAUUGGACAAUGGGCGAAAGCCUGAUCCAGCAAUGCCGCGUGAGUGAUGAAGGCCUUAGGGUUGUAAAGCUCCUUUACCCGGGAUGAUAAUGACAGUACCGGGAGAAUAAGCUCCGGCUAACUCCGUGCCAGCCGCCGCAGUAA
rnacentral:rRNA from 1 species